rnacentral:tRNA from 1 species
AAAAUAAGAAGCAAAAAAUUGCAUUUAGUUUCGACCUAAAAAUUUGAUUCAUAUCCUUAUUU